CACCAGACUCCUACGGGAGGCAGCAGUGGGGAAUAUUGCACAAUGGGGGAAACCCUGAUGCAGCGACGCCGCGUGAGCGAUGAAGUAUUUCGGUAUGUAAAGCUCUAUCAGCAGGGAAGAAAAUGACGGUACCUGACUAAGAAGCCCCGGCUAACUACGUGCCAGCAGCCGCGGUAAUACGUAGGGGGCAAGCGUUAUCCGGAUUUACUGGGUGUAAAGGGAGCGUAGACGGCAAUGCAAGCCAGAUGUGAAAGCCCGGGGCUCAACCCCGGGACUGCAUUUGGAACUGUGUAGCUGGAGUGUCGGAGAGGCAGGCGGAAUUCCUAGUGUAGCGGUGAAAUGCGUAGAUAUUAGGAGGAACACCAGUGGCGAAGGCGGCCUGCUGGACGAUGACUGACGUUGAGGCUCGAAAGCGUGGGGAGCAAACAGGAUUAGAUACCCCGGUAC
rnacentral:rRNA from 1 species